UACGGGGGGAGCAAGCGUUGUUCGGAUUUAUUGGGCGUAAAGGGCGCGUAGGCGGUCACGCACGUCCGUUGUGAAAUCGCUCGGCUCAACUGGGCGGGGUCAGCGGAUACGGCGUGGCUGGAGCAAGCUAGGGGGCAAUGGAAUUCCCGGUGUAGUGGUGGAAUGCGUAGAUAUCGGGAGGAACACCAGUGGCGAAGGCGGUUGCCUGGAGCUUUGCUGACGCUGAUGCGCGAAAGCGUGGGGAGCGAGCCGG
rnacentral:rRNA from 1 species